rnacentral:tRNA from 1 species
CCCUGGGUGGUAAAAACGGUUAGUGCACUUGGCUGUUAACCAAAAUGUUGAUGGUUCAAGUCCACCCAGAGGCA